rnacentral:rRNA from 1 species
UUAUUUUGAUUUUAUUUUAAAUGAAAAAAAUUUAAUUAAAUUAAAUUUUAGUCAAAAUAUUGUAAUUUUAAGGUUACCUUUUGCAUAAUGGUUAAAUUAAUAUUAAAUAGAAAAAUUUUAUAAACCCGAAAAAAAAUGAUCUAUAGUAAAAAUAAAUUUUUGAUUUUGGAAAAAAAGGUUGUAAUAUAAAUCUUGUAAAAAUUUUACUAUUGGAGUGAAAGGCUUUCAAAUUUUUUAAUAUCUGGAUUUAAAGGAAAUGUAUUUAGUACAAAAAUAUGAUAUAAGUAGAUAGUGAUAAGAUUAUUUAUUUUAAGGAGAGAAAUUUUUAUCUAAAAAAUUUACAUUAUAUAAUAAAUUUAAGUUUUUGAAUUAUAAUAAAAAAUUUUUGUAAAAAUUUUCCUUAUUUAAUACUUUUAAUUUUUAAUAAAUAAAAUUUUUAAAAAUAAUUAUGUUUAAAUAAGUAUAAAAAUUUUUAUUUUAAAAACUUAUAAGGAACUCGGCAAAGAUCUAUUUUUAACUGUUUAACAAAAACAUAGCUUAUUGAGUUUAUAAAUAAUAAGUUAUUUCUGCCCUGUGAUUUUAAAUAAUUUAACGGCCGCAGUACUUUGACUGUGCUAAGGUAGCAAAAUAAAUAGGCUUUUAAUUGAAGUCGAGAAUAAAGGAAAAAUUAAAAAUAAACUGUCUUAAAGGUUUUUUUUAAAAAUUACUAAUAUGGUGAAAAUUCCAUAAUAAAAUUUUAAUAGACGAGAAGACCCUAUGAAUUAUAAUAAAAAAAUUUUUUAAAAAUUUUAAAUUUUUGUUGGGGCAACAUGAAUUUUAAAAAAAUUUUUAAAAAUAAAAUUUUACAUUUGAAGUUAAUAUUAUAAAUGAAUUUAAUUACCUUAGGGAUAACAGCAUAAUUAUUAUUUUAAUAGAUUAUGACCUCGAUGUUGGAUUAAGAAAUAAUAUAAUUAACAAUUAUAUUAUAAAGUUCUGUUCGAACAAGAAUUUUCUUACAUGAUCUGAGUUCAGACCGGCGUAAGCCAGGUCAGUUUCUAUCUUUUAAUAAUGUUUUUAUUAGUACGAAAGGACCAUAAUGACAAAAUUAAAAGUUUU